rnacentral:rRNA from 1 species
GAUGAACGCUGGCGGCGUGCCUAAUACAUGCAAGUCGAGCGAACAGACGAUGAUCUUUCUCCUCUUACGUUAGCGGCUGACUUGUGAGUAACACGUGUAUAACCUACCUAUAAUACUUGUAUAACUUCGUGAAACCGGAUCUAAUUCCGGAUAAUAUUUUGAACCUCAUGGUUCUAUAGUUAAAUACGGUUUUUCUGUCACUUAUAGAUUGAUCCGCGCCGGAUUAGAUAGUUGGUAAGGUAACGGCUUACCAAGGCAACGAUUCGUAGCCGACCUGAGAGGGUGAUCGGACACACUGGAACGGAGACACGGACAAGACUACUACGGGAGGCAGCAGUAGGGAAUCUUCCGCAAUGGGCGAAAGCAUGACGGAGCAACGCCGCGUGAGUGAUGAAGGUCUUCGGAUCGUAAAACUCUGUUAUUAGGGAAGAAAAAAUGUGUAAGUAACUAUGCACGUCUUGACGGUACCUAAUCAGAAAGCAACGGCUAACUACGUG